GAUGAACGCUAGCGGCAGGCUUAACACAUGCAAGUCGAGGGGUAGUCUAGCAAUAGAUGAGACCGGCGCACGGGUGCGUAACGCGUAUGCAAUCUACCUUUUACAGAGGGAUAGCCCAGAGAAAUUUGGAUUAAUACCUCAUAGUAUAACGACUCGGCAUCGAGAUGUUAUUAAAGUUCCAACGAUAAAAGAUGAGCAUGCGUCCCAUUAGCUAGUUGGUGUGGUAACGGCACACCAAGGCAACGAUGGGUAGGGGUCCUGAGAGGGAGAUCCCCCACACUGGUACUGAGACACGGACCAGACUCCUACGGGAGGCAGCAGUGAGCAAUAUUGGUCAAUGGGCGCAAGCCUGAACCAGCCAUGCCGCGUGCAGGAUGACGGUCCUAUGGAUUGUAAACUGCUUUUGUACAGGAAGAAACACUCCCUCGUGAGGGAGCUUGACGGUACUGUAAGAAUAAGGAUCGGCUAACUCCGUGCCAGCAGCCGCGGUAAUACGGAGGAUCCAAGCGUUAUCCGGAAUCAUUGGGUUUAAAGGGUCCGUAGGCGGGUUUAUAAGUCAGUGGUGAAAGCCCAUCGCUCAACGAUGGAACGGCCAUUGAUACUGUAGAUCUUGAAUUAUUAGGAAGUAACUAGAAUAUGUAGUGUAGCGGUGAAAUGCUUAGAGAUUACAUGGAAUACCAAUUGCGAAGGCAGGUNACUACUAAUGGAUUGACGCUGAUGGACGAAAGCGUGGGUAGCGAACAGGAUUAGAUACCCUGGUAGUCCACGCCGUAAACGAUGGAUACUAGCUGUUCGGAGCAAUCUGAGUGGCUAAGCGAAAGUGAUAAGUAUCCCACCUGGGGAGUACGUUCGCAAGAAUGAA
rnacentral:rRNA from 1 species